UAGAGUUUGAUCAUGGCUCAGAAUGAACGCUGGCGGCAUGCCUAACACAUGCAAGUCGAACGAAGCCUUCGGGUUUAGUGGCGCACGGGUGCGUAACGCGUGGGAAUCUGCCCCUUGGUUCGGAAUAACAGUUGGAAACGACUGCUAAUACCGGAUGAUGACGUAAGUCCAAAGAUUUAUCGCCGAGGGAUGAGCCCGCGUAGGAUUAGGUAGUUGGUGUGGUAAAGGCGCACCAAGCCGACGAUCCUUAGCUGGUCUGAGAGGAUGAUCAGCCACACUGGGACUGAGACACGGCCCAGACUCCUACGGGAGGCAGCAGUGGGGAAUAUUGGACAAUGGGCGAAAGCCUGAUCCAGCAAUGCCGCGUGAGUGAUGAAGGCCUUAGGGUUGUAAAGCUCUUUUACCCGGGAUGAUAGUGACAGUACCGGGAGAAUAAGCUCCGGCUAACUCCGUGCCAGCAGCCGCGGUAAUACGGAGGGAGCUAGCGUUAUUCGGAAUUACUGGGCGUAAAGCGCACGUAGGCGGCUUUGUAAGUAAGAGGUGAAAGCCCAGAGCUCAACUCUGGAAUUGCCUUUUAGACUGCAUCGCUUGAAUCAUGGAGAGGUCAGUGGAAUUCCGAGUGUAGAGGUGAAAUUCGUAGAUAUUCGGAAGAACACCAGUGGCGAAGGCGGCUGACUGGACAUGUAUUGACGCUGAGGUGCGAAAGCGUGGGGAGCAACAGGAU
rnacentral:rRNA from 1 species